rnacentral:rRNA from 1 species
CGGAGGGAUCAUUAAAGAGUUCUAUAACUCCCAAACCCAUGUGAACAUACCUAACGUUGCCUCGGCAGGUCGCACCUACCUUGUAGCACCCUACCCUGUAGGGCCUACCCGGGAGGUGCGGGUAAGCCUGCCGGCGGCCCACCAAACUCUGUUUGAUAUUGAAUUCUGAACCUAUAACUAAAUAAGUUAAAACUUUCAACAACGGAUCUCUUGGUUCUGGCAUCGAUGAAGAACGCAGCGAAAUGCGAUAAGUAAUGUGAAUUGCAGAAUUCAGUGAAUCAUCGAAUCUUUGAACGCAUAUUGCGCCCAUUAGUAUUCUAGUGGGCAGGACCGUUCGAGCGUCAUUUCAACCCUUAAGCCUUCGUUGCUUAGUGUUGGGAGCCUACGGCAACGUAGCUCCUCAAAGUUAGUGGCGGAGUUGGUUCACACUCUAGACGUAGUAAUUUUUUAUCUCGCCUAUUAGUUGGACUAAUCCCCUGCCGUAAAACCCCCAAUUUAUCAAGGUUGACCUCGAAUCGGUUCAGACAAACUCGCUAAAUUGAAGCAUCUUAGUCAGCGAAGGAAAAGAAACCAACAGGGAUUGCCCUAGUAACGGCGAGUGAAGCGGCAACAGCUCAAAUUUGAAAUCUGGCCCUCGGGUCCGA